CAGCAAGAGUUUUCUGGCAGGCUCCCUUCACAAGAUGUUUUUCAUGAAAUGUGGAAAACAGCUUACUGACAAUGAAGAGGUCCUCUCGUUUCACAACGCCUUCCUUGAUUUUCUGCUGGAUCGCAUCCCCAACCUCCUUCUCGUUCUGGUACGCAUAGGCACCAUCAAAGUGGCGGUAUCCAGCAUCGAUUGCAGCCAUCACUGCAGCUGUCACUUGCCCUGGUGGGGACUUCCAGGUGCCCAGCCCCAGGAUGGGCAUCUUGGCUCCGGUGUUCAGCUGCACGUAGGUCGCCAUGGCCCCUCACGCUGCCAGUCCGGCUGUGCUGUGGCCGCUUCCUGCCCAGCCUGUUUAAUAGUGACGGUGCUGCCCCUGGGCGGGGGGAGGAUGGCGGAGCAGCGCUUGCGCUCUGAGCUCUCACGUGUCCAGCAACAGUGCUGCGUAUUAUUCUCAACUCAC
rnacentral:lncRNA from 1 species